AUUUAUAUAGUUUAAUUAAAAACAUUACAAUUUCAUUGUAACCUUAGAAAAUUUCAUUCUUAUAAAUA
rnacentral:tRNA from 1 species